rnacentral:RNase_P_RNA from 1 species
UGAGUAAGUUGUAUGGUCGCGUGCUUCAAGCAUGAGGAAAGUCCGUGCUCCGUAGAGCAAGAUGCUGGAUAACGUCCAGUGGGGGCGACCCUAAGGAUAGUGCAACAGAGAUAUACCGCCUGAAUUGGAUAACUACAUAUCAUGUGGUUUUAUUGGGGUUCAGGUAAGGGUGGAAAGGUGAGGUAAGAGCUCACCAGUAUUUAGGUGACUAAAUAGCUAUGCAAACCCCAUCUGGAGCAAGACCAAAAGGGAACUUAAAAAGAUAGUUGCUCGCUAUCGUUCCAAAGGUAGGUCGCAUGAACCCAUUGGUAACAAUGGGUCUAGAUAGAUGACCGUAUAAACAGAACACGGCUUAUAGACUUACUCAAUUA